GUGGGGAAUCUUGCGCAAUGGGCGAAAGCCUGACGCAGCCAUGCCGCGUGAAUGAUGAAGGUCUUAGGAUUGUAAAAUUCUUUCACCGGGGACGAUAAUGACGGUACCCGGAGAAGAAGCUCCGGCUAACUUCGUGCCAGCAGCCGCGGUAAUACGAAGGGGGCUAGCGUUGCUCGGAAUUACUGGGCGUAAAGGGCGCGUAGGCGGACAGCGUAGUCAGAGGUGAAAGCCCAGGGCUCAACCUUGGAAUUGCCUUUGAUACUGGCUGUCUUGAGUUUGGGAGAGGUGAGUGGAACUCCGAGUGUAGAGGUGAAAUUCGUAGAUAUUCGGAAGAACACCAGUGGCGAAGGCGACUCACUGGCCCAAUACUGACGCUGAGGCGCGAAAGCGUGGGGAGCAAACAGGAUUAGAAACCCGAGUAGUCC
rnacentral:rRNA from 1 species